rnacentral:rRNA from 1 species
CCUGAACGCUGGCGGCGUGGCUAAGACAUGCAAGUCGAACGGGUGUAGCAAUACACCAGUGGCGGACGGGUGAGUAAUGUAUCGCUAACGUGCCCUGGAAUCUGAGAUAGCCAAUCGAAAGGUUGGGUAAUACCAGAUGAAAUAUCCUUAUCGCAUGAUGAGGAUCUCAAAGGAGCAAUCCGGUCUGGGAGCGGGCGAUAUCGUAUCAGCUAGUUGGUGAGGUAACGGCUCACCAAGGCGACGACGCGUAGCCGGGCUGAGAGGUCGGCCGGCCACAUUGGGACUGAGACACUGCCCAGACUCCUACGGGGGCGU